UGUUCUUGCUGUUGUCUUCUUCCGUGA
rnacentral:sRNA from 1 species